rnacentral:rRNA from 1 species
UACGUAGGUGACAAGCGUUGUCCGGAUUUACUGGGCGUAAAGAGCGCGCAGGCGGUCGUUCAAGUCGAGUGUGAAAGCCCCCGGCUCAACUGGGGAGGGUCACUCGAUACUGAUCGACUCGAAGGCAGGAGAGGGAAGUGGAAUUCCCGGUGUAGUGGAGAAAUGCGCAGAUAUCAGGAAGAACACCCGUGGCGAAGGCGGCUCUCUGGGACGGUACUGACGCUGAGACGCGAAAGCGUGGGGAGCGAACAGG